CGCUUUCGGGGAAGGCCUGCAAAGUGAGGCCUCCGGCUGGGGUUAGCGGGCGCGUGGUGGGAACCGCGUGGAACCGAAGGGCUCCCACGGGAACAAGGGCAUCACUGACGGUAUGGCCUCUCAGGUCUGUUGACCCUCCCUCUGCCUCCCCGGUCCGGACUCAUACAACUUCGAAGUCCAGAGGUCGUCCAGUCUCAUCUUGACGUCAGAAUGACACAGCCAGUUAUCAAAAGAAAUCUCCAAGGAAUUCCCUGUAUGCUGAGGAAUGAAGGAUGUGAGAAAGAAAUUAACUGUCUUCUGCUCUCAAGUUAGACCCCUAAGAAAACUCUUAAGAGUAUCUAAUAACUAGAGGCAUCUGUCACACCAGC
rnacentral:antisense_RNA from 1 species